UACGGAGGGUGCAAGCGUUAAUCGGAAUUACUGGGCGUAAAGCGCGCGUAGGUGGUUUGAUAAGCGAGAUGUGAAAGCCCCGGGCUUAACCUGGGAACGGCAUUUCGAACUGUCAGGCUAGAGUAUGGUAGGGAGGUGUGGAUUGACUUCGUGUG
rnacentral:rRNA from 1 species